rnacentral:rRNA from 1 species
UCCAAUAGCGAGAAAAGAACAACAGGGAUUGCCUCAGUAACGGCGAGCGAAGCGGCAACAGCUCAAAUUUGAAAUCUGCCUUUCGGGGCCGAGUUGUAAUUUGCAGAGGAUGCUUUCGGUGCGGUGGCUUCUAAGUUCUCUGGAACGAGACGCCAUAGAGGGUGAGAGCCCCGUAUAGUCGUGCGCCUAGCCGGUGUAAAGCUCCUUCGACGAGUCGAGUAGUUUGGGAAUGCUGCUCUAAAUGGGAGGUAAAUUCCUUCUAAAGCUAAAUAUCUGCCGGAGACCGAUAGCGCACAAGUAGAGUGAUCGAAAGAUGAAAAGCACUUUGAAAAGAGAGUCAAACAGCACGUGAAAUUGUUGAAAGGGAAGCGCCUGUGACCAGACUUGCACCGGGGCGAUCUCCCGUUGUUUUCAGCGGUGCACUCGUCCCGGUUCAGGCCAGCAUCGGUUCCUGCGGGGGGAAAAAAGCAGGGGCAACGUAGCUCUUUGAGUGUUAUAGGCCGCUGCAGAAUACCCUCGGGGGGACCGAGGACUGCGCAUUGUCGAGGAUCGCUGGCGAUAAUGGUCACCGGCAACCCGUCUUGAA